ACAUGAGUGAGUUGGAGGGGAGGGAAACGAAUCAUUCCGCAAAGGUUCGUCACUUGUGACAUGAAAGCAGAGGUAUGUUUCUUCCCGUUGUUUUAGGAACGCUUGGUCUCCCCAUGCAACGCCAGCGCUUCUCAAAUGACACAAUCUGAUCGGCUAUUGUUACAGGAAGGAGACGUGAUGGGAAAGAAGAUUCUCUCAUUGGUGCUCAUCUGUACAGUGGCCGGUGCUGCUGGGGAAUGUGUGCUGCCAUUGAGAAUGAGUGACAGCUGUCAUUAGGGCUUUCAGAUGGAGGCUGCAGUCACCUGCUUGCUGAGCAAGAGCAAGGAAACUAAACCACCAGAAGAACCAGCUUCUCAGCCAGCUGAUUUAAAACUGUCUUUUGAGACCAGCUGGGGAUGUGGACAGAGACAUCUUCUGCAAACACUGGAGCAGGGUAAGAGAAAGUGUUUAUUUAUUGCCCCCUCUUUCAGUGUCUUUCCUGUUGCAAAUGAGUGCUUGCUCCCUUUGAGUCAGAGCAGGUAGUCUGUAUCUCAGAAGGUUGCCUGCACCUCUCAUAAGUCUAAUGCUUCAGGAGCACAGAUCUUUAUGGAGUAAAUCCUUGGAAAGUGGCCCAGAGCCCAAGGGAGGGCUGGGGGAACUGCAGGGGUCACUGUGGGAGGGGAGGAGAACCAUGGAGCAGUCAGGCAGCGGGACAGAGGCGGGCUUGGGGAUAGACUGCCUCUUACUGCUACCAAGUCCUGGGUCCUCAGCUGGGCUCUGGGAUCUAGGUAAUAAACCACUCUAACCUAAGAGCGGGUCA
rnacentral:lncRNA from 1 species